rnacentral:misc_RNA from 1 species
GUGAAUCAUCAAAUUUUUGAACGCAAAUUGCGCCUUUUUCGGAAGGCAAGGCUGUGUGAGGGCACCAGUUAACAAAUAAUGUGAAUGUCGUGUACACACGGUGAUGAGCUUUCCAAAUUUAUGGAUUAGGAUUGGUGGCGCAUAAUAAACAGCGCGGUGCUUUGGUUCAGUUCGAGUGUAGUAAAAUUGUUUCGUGCUUGGGGGGUGAAAAGCGUGAGCGCGCAAUGGGUGUGGCAAUGUUAGUUAAUCGCGGCGCCAACGCCACUCUUUCUCGCGAAAGAUU